AGAGUUUGAUCCUGGCUCAGGAUGAACGCUAGCGACAGGCUUAACACAUGCAAGUCGAGGGGCAGCAUGAUUUGUAGCAAUACAGAUUGAUGGCGACCGGCGCACGGGUGAGUAACGCGUAUGCAACUUACCUAUCAGAGGGGGAUAGCCCGGCGAAAGUCGGAUUAAUACCCCAUAAAACAGGGGUCCCGCAUGGGAAUAUUUGUUAAAGAUUCAUCGCUGAUAGAUAGGCAUGCGUUCCAUUAGGCAGUUGGCGGGGUAACGGCCCACCAAACCGACGAUGGAUAGGGGUUCUGAGAGGAAGGUCCCCCACAUUGGUACUGAGACACGGACCAAACUCCUACGGGAGGCAGCAGUGAGGAAUAUUGGUCAAUGGACGGGAGUCUGAACCAGCCAAGUAGCGUGAAGGAUGACUGCCCUAUGGGUUGUAAACUUCUUUUAUAAAGGAAUAAAGUCGGGUAUGGAUACCCGUUUGCAUGUACUUUAUGAAUAAGGAUCGGCUAACUCCGUGCCAGCAGCCGCGGUAAUACGGAGGAUCCGAGCGUUAUCCGGAUUUAUUGGGUUUAAAGGGAGCGUAGAUGGAUGUUUAAGUCAGUUGUGAAAGUUUGCGGCUCAACCGUAAAAUUGCAGUUGAUACUGGAUAUCUUGAGUGCAGUUGAGGCAGGCGGAAUUCGUGGUGUAGCGGUGAAAUGCUUAGAUAUCACGAAGAACCCCGAUUGCGAAGGCAGCUUGCUAAACUGUAACUGACGUUCAUGCUCGAAAGUGUGGGUAUCAAACAGGAUUAGAUACCCUGGUAGUCCACACGGUAAACGAUGGAUACUCGCUGUUGGCGAUAUACUGUCAGCGCCGCCGGACGGAAAGCGAUUUCCGUCCGGCGGUGUCUUUGCGUCCCGAACUCGCGAACGGUGCGGCGGAAGCCGCCGAGCAAAGGAGUAACAUGCUCGGAAAGUCCCGUCCGGCGCACGAUUUCAACGGACGAACAGACCCAAUCAUCCGAGAACACAUCAUGAAUGAACGACACACGGACAGCGAAGCGACGGCGGGCGAAAUGCCUCAGAAGGCUUCGCACGACUACACCGG
rnacentral:rRNA from 1 species